AGCGAACGCUGGCGGCAGGCUUAACACAUGCAAGUCGAGCGGGCGUAGCAAUACGUCAGCGGCAGACGGGUGAGUAACGCGUGGGAACAUACCUUUUGGUUCGGAACAACACAGGGAAACUUGUGCUAAUACCGGAUAAGCCCUUACGGGGAAAGAUUUAUCGCCGAAAGAUUGGCCCGCGUCUGAUUAGCUAGUUGGUGAGGUAAUGGCUCACCAAGGCGACGAUCAGUAGCUGGUCUGAGAGGAUGAUCAGCCACAUUGGGACUGAGACACGGCCCAAACUCCUACGGGAGGCAGCAGUGGGGAAUAUUGGACAAUGGGCGCAAGCCUGAUCCAGCCAUGCCGCGUGAGUGAUGAAGGCCCUAGGGUUGUAAAGCUCUUUUGUGCGGGAAGAUAAUGACGGUACCGCAAGAAUAAGCCCCGG
rnacentral:rRNA from 2 species